ACCCUCUCAGGAUCACACGUGGAAAGUUUCCAGUACCCUACCAGUUUUGACUAUGGGAGGGAGAGAUAAGCAGAGUCAUACCCCUUCCAUUCCUAGCUUGGUCAGUGGCUAGCGAGUGGAAGGCAAUCUGCUACAAGU